CCUACGGGUGGCAGCAGUGGGGAAUAUUGCGCAAUGGGGGCAACCCUGACGCAGCCAUGCCGCGUGAAUGAAGAAGGCCUUCGGGUUGUAAAGUUCUUUCGGUGACGAGGAAGGUUGUUGUGUUAAUAGCGCAACAAAUUGACGUUAAUCACAGAAGAAGCACCGGCUAACUCCGUGCCAGCAGCCGCGGUAAUACGGAGGGUGCGAGCGUUAAUCGGAAUAACUGGGCGUAAAGGGCACGCAGGCGGCUAUUUAAGUGAGGUGUGAAAUCCCCGGGCUUAACCUGGGAAUUGCAUUUCAGACUGGGGAGCUAGAGUACUUUAGGGAGGGGUAGAAUUCCACGUGUAGCGGUGAAAUGCGUAGAGAUGUGGAGGAAUACCGAAGGCGAAGGCAGCCCCUUGGGAAUGUACUGACGCUCAUGUGCGAAAGCGUGGGGAGCAAACAGGAUUAGAUACCCCUGUAGUC
rnacentral:rRNA from 1 species